rnacentral:lncRNA from 1 species
AGCAAUUCUCCUACCUCAGCCUCCCGAGUAGCUGGGAUUACAGGUGCUGCCAUGGCCACGACUGAUGUUACACUCGAGCUGAGGAGGCCGGCUGCAGCCCCAAGACAGAGCGCUACUCCUGGCAGUGCGUCAAUCAGAGCGUCCUGUGCGGAUCUUCUUCACUCUGGAGGUGCCACCCAUGAGAACAAAGAGCUCUGGAGAGAUGUGGAUUCCUGAAGAGCUGCAGGGGAACUGGGAGAGGGUUUUCUGACAGAACAAUCUCACCUCAAGAAGUCACUUAGGCAUGGCUGUAAUAUUUCUUUUCACUCCCAGGUAAUACCAAAUU